ensembl:lncRNA
UUCCAGUCCCUCCAAACACACUUGCUCAUUCCCAGCCUCAAAGAAGACACCACCCUGACACCCAUGGUCACUCGCGAGAGAUGCUGAGGAGCCUCCCAAACCAGAAUCAUCUUGGAGCUUUGUCCUCUAUUCUGUAGAUGAGCCAGCAUCCGCUGUACCUCCUCAGAUCUCAUCACAGCGUCUUAGCUCCAUCUGCACCUGGGUGUGUAUUGUGUCUGUCCGUGAGCUUUCGACCCCUGGAGGCCGGACCUAUGGGCAUCACUCUCCUUCUCUUCAUGUCUCCUUAGGAUGGAGGAAGUCAACAGAGUAGCCACUGCAGGGUCCUAUGGAAACAGGUUAAAGAUUCCUGUGGAGAGAUCCAUUAGCCCACGGAUUCAAAAGAAUUCAUACAAAGGUCUCCACGUAAGAAAGAGACUCUCCAAAUGAAAAGCCAAGAUUUUCUGUCAGACGUCCCUGAAUUCAGCUUCCUGUGCCUGCCUCUUGUGGGCUUAGGGACCUUGCACAUUCCUUAACUACUCAGCUUCAGAGUCAUCGUUUGCCGAGUGGGGCUAAUGGCAGUCACCGCCAGGGUCUGCUUUGAUGCUUAAAUGAUAGAGAACCGUGCCUGACAUGUAAUCAAUGC